rnacentral:tRNA from 1 species
UCCCUGGUUCCUCAGAGGUUAAAGUGUCUGCCUGGAAUGCAGGAGACCCAGGUUUGAUCCCUGGGUUGGGAA